UAAUUUCGCAGAAAAUACUGGUGGUGGGUGACUCGCUGCUGCUGCAGUCUGCCGUGGGAGGAUUAUCCCGUUUGUUUCUCACAAUCUUUUUGGGUUUUUAUUUUAUUUUAUAUGUUCUGCAAUGGCUAUGGCUUCGAUAAAAUGCAUUGAGACACGGAUUGUGCAUAAUUCCCUAAUGGGUUUGAAACCCACAACUAUAAACAAAUCACAGCAGCGGCCGAAUGCAAAGCAGGAGGCUCGUGUCGUUGUUGUUUUUCCAGUAUUACCCAUUUCGAGAAGGUCUGCAAUUCUGAUGUCCCCUCUGCUGCCUUUGAGCCUCAUUUCGCUUUUGCCCAAACCCUCACUUGCCAGAGAGAGGCGCAACAGAAAGACCAUCCCAAUUGAAGACUACCUCACCAGCCCAGCUGAUGGGCUGAAAUACUAUGAUGUUGUUGAGGGGAAGGGUCCGGUAGCUGAAAAGGGCUCCACAGUUCAGGUGCAUUUUGACUGUCUAUAUGGCAAGAUUACGGCAGUGUCAAGCCGAGAAUCUAAACUUUUAGCUGGAAAUCGGAUAAUUGCUCAGCCUUAUGAGUUCAAGGUUGGAGCUCCCCCAGGGAAAGAACGAAAGCGUGACUUUGCUGAUAACCCCAAUGGCCUGUUCUCUGCACAGGCUGCACCAAAACCCCCACCAGCUAUGUAUUCAAUAACUGAAGGAAUGAAACUUGGAGGAAAGACAUCGUCUCAUCUUUUCUUUGCAGAGGACUGUGAUAGUUCCGCCUGAGGUUGGAUAUGGCCAGAAGGGGAUGGGUGAAAUUCCGGUAAAUGCUUAACUGCAGACUGCAGUGGUUAUUCUGUUAUUUGACUGCAAACAUCUGUUUCUUUUAAUCCGUUUGCCAGGAGCUACAUUUGAGCUGAAUCUUGAGCUCUUGGAAGUAAAACCACCGGAAGGAAAGUAGGCUGUUUUGGGGCUAUUGUGAUCUUGCUGAUAGACCGAGUUUGACUCUUAUUCUAGUCCUUGUGCAAAAUAUUCUGGUGGUCAUUCUUUCCCACGGAUUACUACAUUUUCCUUGAAGGCCCAAAAUUUUUCAAGUAAUAUAUAUUCCCUCUAACCAGUGCUUCGAUCUGAUUGUUUUGUUCGAUCAGAACCUGUUGUAAUAUAUGUUAUAGAGGCAAGGUUUUACCCCUUAUAACAGUGCACCAGUUUUAAACCUGAGUGGUUUGUUUUUAGAACCUUAAAUGACGCCUUUGGUUGAUAGCACUGUAAUCAUACGAUGUGGUAAAUCGUUCUGGCUCGCACAUUAAAUAUCUUCAUUGUUCGUUGACCU